rnacentral:rRNA from 1 species
GACGAACCGUACGAACGUUAUUCGGAAUCACUGGGCUUAAAGGGUGCGUAGGCGGCGGCAAAAGUUGGGUGUGAAAUCCCUCGGCUCAACCGAGGAACUGCGCUCAAAACUGUGUCGCUUGAGGGAGAUAGAGGUGAGUGGAACUUAGGGUGGAGCGGUGAAAUGCGUUGAUAUCCUAAGGAACACCAGUGGCGAAAGCGACUCACUGGGUCUCUUCUGACGCUGAGGCACGAAAGCUAGGGUAGCGAACGGG